CCUANGGGAGGCUGCAGUCGAGAAUCUUUCGCAAUGGGGGAAACCCUGACGACGCGACGCCGCGUGGAGGAUGAAGGCCUUCGGGUUGUAAACUCCUGUCAGCAGGGGAGAACAAGCUGUCUAUGAAUAAUGGACAGCUUUGACAGUACCUGCAGAGGAAGCCACGGCUAACUCUGUGCCAGCAGCCGCGGUAAUACAGAGGUGGCAAGCGUUGUUCGGAUUUAUUGGGCGUAAAGGGUCCGUAGGCGGCCUGGAAAGUCGGGUGUGAAAUCCCACAGCUUAACUGUGGAACUGCAUUCGAAACUUCUAGGCUCGAGUGUGAUAGGGGUAAAGGGAAUUCCCGGUGUAAGGGUGAAAUCUGCAGAGAUCGGGAGGAACACCAGUCGCGAAGGCGCUUUACUGGAUCACUACUGACGCUGAGGGACGAAAGCCAGGGGAGCAAACGGGAUUAGAUACCCCANUANUC
rnacentral:rRNA from 1 species